rnacentral:lncRNA from 1 species
AGGAGAGAGGUACGAAGGCGGCGCACGUGGGCGCUUGCAAACAAAGAGGCUCUGUGUGGCACAGUCGACAACCUGCAGUUCUCACGUAUGCUCAAGCACGCACACACGCCUGGACCAUACUCAUAUCCAUACCUGCCACAUUCCCGUCACGGACAGCAGUGAAACACAGAAAGACACGCCAUUAGACGUGGAGCCGACGUGGCUGACACUGCGGGGUUGACCCGGUGCCCACGCGCUGUACACAAAAGGGCUUCCAUCAAUCCACCUGUUCACAUCGUGGCCAGUCGGGCAUCAUUCUUGGCCUUAAAAAGGAUAGCAAGCUAUCACAGCCUUACCGGAAUUCAUCCAAGUAACGACCGUUGUCAAGGCCAAGCAGAAUAGCAUACGAAACGCUUGGCGGAGCGUCAGUGCUUUGGCUGGCAUUUGCAAACGUCAGCUCUAUCAGCAUGCUGGAGACUUGCUCCAACAUCCAUGACUGUUCCUGCUCAUCUUGCAGAGAAGUGAGGGCAGAACUUGCCGCUGCGCACACUGUAUGGGCUUGGCGCUGCGUGAAAAAGUGAUUAUAGAUUAGGUAAUCAUUGGCACCCCUGGAAACUAUUACUGUAGGGGGUGGUAGACCUGCACAAACCCAAAUCAAACGUUUUGUCAGGUACACAGCAAUACAAAAUGCUUACGUUCACAGAUGUAGCCAAGGUCGGAUUCACAUGGCCUGGACUGCCAUGCAAGCAAUCCCUGGCCGUUUGAACAUCGACCAAAGGCAAUUGUGCCACAUUGAUCAACCGCAUUUCCUCCACCCAACAUCGAGGGUGGCGGGGCUGAAGAAGCGUUUGCACCUAGCAGGGAUACUGCCACAGGUGAUGGUGCAGUUGGCUCAUAAUUUUCUCCUGACUUAUCCCAUAAUGCAAGCUGCUCCUCCGAAAACAAUGUGCCAUCGGCCCAGCGUGGUCGCCCAGAAGUUAAGAUCAUAUUUGUCCACAAUGCCAAUAUGGAUACACCAUUAGCCUGGUUUAAAACUAAGCGCUGAGGAAUAUAUGUGUUGACACCUCCAGUCGCUUUGCAACCAUCCAUAUUACCAAAAAUCACUGAUUUGAAUGUUGCUGGUAGGUCUAGGGCCUCCUGUAUGCACAUUUGUAUUCUAGCAGUGCAGAUAGAGCAGGAAUCCUGAUGGAACGUACCUGGAACAGCUUCAUUCGUAGAUUGAUAUCUUGCAACAGUGCCAACCUUCCUCCGAGCUGGCCACACGUGACAGAAGCAAUGUCGAAUGACACCUGAAGCAGAAGUAGUCAUUACAAUGGAAUGCAUGCAAUGCGGCCACAAUCAAGGUUGCACAAUAUAAUACCGCACCGGCUGAGUUGCACUUGGAGUGGCCACCAAAUACUGGUAACCAUUGUAGUCGAACAAGGGCACCCCGCUGGGCUGGGGUGGUGGCACCGCCAGCGGCACUGCAUUUCAGGUAAGACACAGUUGACAUGCAAUCAGAGCUAUCGCACUAAGCAUAUGUAGCACCUUUGCAGACAAAAGGAAGAGCUGCACGUGCACAAUCAACCGGUCUCCACUGGAGUACCAUUCCUGAGCCAACUUCCACCACCUCUCCAGCUGCACAGCUUAGCCCGCUUGCUAAUCCUGCCCCCGGUUCACCAGCUGACCACGCUCUGUAUCCACCAAGCAGACUGCUGCCAUUCUGAUUGGAUGCCAUAGCGGUAGGCGUUGGCAUGUCUUGCCACGACCAAACUGUGGACACAGCCCGUAACCCAAUCCAGAAUUGCGAGCGCGCAGGCAUGACCUACAAAUUGUUCCAACAUUAAAUGCGCAAAUUAAUCUCCACCAGGUAUCCCGCCUACCUGCUUGAAAAUCUUUGUAACAAGCUGUGCCUCUGACACAGUCGCUGCUGAAGUAAGCGCUGGGGUAAACAGGCUUAAACCUGCUCCAGCGGUCUUGCAUACCGCUCUUGCUUGUUCCCGCGUUAAGUCGGUUGAGAAUACCAUGUAAGAAGCACGAUUAGACGUGUAAACCAAGUCAGGCAACGGGGGUCCUGCAAGUCGGCAUUCAUUUCAUCAUGCAUAUGCUGAUGAACAUAUACUCCAGAACGCACCACUGCAAGCGUAUGGAAGCUGAGAUUCACAAGAUACCUUGACCAACGCUGACGAUGUCACAUUCACAGCCACGCAUACACGCUCCAAUUGAAGCGAGUCUGCAAGCUCACCAAAUCCUGCAACACCAGCUGCCCAAUUCAAGAGAUAAGACGAGCCAUCACGCCAGCUAGCUGCUGUAAGCCCUGUAGACAGCUUAGAAAGUACAAGACCAAUGUGCACCAAACUAGUGUUCGUAAACUGGAGAAAUGGACUCAAUUGCGUUGCUAGGGACCGAACUGUGGAUGGCGAUGCCAAUACUGCCAGACGUGAAGGGUUGUGGGGCUGCUGCCUAAGCAUCAGCUCGGAUGGCCAAAUCCCAUCCUCCUGCAGCCACAUAAACCAUGCAAUGCGAACAUGCAGGUGGGUAAGAGCAAUUUGAUGUUUUGGGUGACUUACCUGGUUUUCUCGUGAGCAAGCACUGUCAGCCUCAUCGGCUGGCAGCCAUUUUGCAGGCAACAUAUAACCCGUGUAGCGCGUGUCAUUGAUGAUGGUCACCAAGGACGGUUUGCUUCCAGGACCUGCCAUAGCAAUUAAAGUUAACCACCAGAACACACAUGCGCGCAUACUCGAACGUACGUUUGCAGAUGAAGGCCGAUACACGCGACUUGCACGGCAAUAUAAUGUAAGUGCCGGGCCCGCCUUUAGACUGUGGAGACACGUCCCACGCAACGCAGCCAGCUGACAUACCCUCGCUAACAGUACCAUUAAGCGUUGAAGUAUUGGUACCCCAGCGUGCUUGCCAUUGCAACAGCGCAGAUGCAAGCACCGCAGAUGGCGGACCAGCCCCAUUCCAGAUACGCUCCGAGCCAUCCACAUACUCAAGUUUCAGUGUAGCGGUGUCAGUGGACAUUUUUGCAGUGGACGACGUAUCAUCGCCUGCCAAUACCACCAUAGCACGCACCCCAACCCAAAUGGCGGCUGAUAUGCUGAAAUUAUUAGACCAUGAAGCAACAUUGGCCAGGGCUGCCUCAUGCUCGGGUGUACUUUCCACACUCAUUAACGAGCCGCCGACGUGCUCACAAGUUGCUUGGGCGGUAUCGAAACUCAAGCCACCAAGGUAAUCUACAUCGGUUAUUCCUAAAGAAGGCAUGUACACUAGAUAUUCCCAACCACCCCAUGUCCAACUUGCUGCUGGCUCAGGCAGCGGAGAGACAGCUGUCAUUGCAAAUGCAUUAGCCACGACACAGGUUGACAACACUGUAAAGCAUUUGGCUAACCUUUGCAUAUGAACGGCAGUUCCUGCUGUGAGCAAGGCGCUGUGUACCAUGCAGAGCUCUUGGGCUCGCCAGAAACAAGAAGGCGCACACACAAUGCAUCUGCGCUGUUCAGAGCAGAGUUGUUGGAGUCGUUGCUCGGAACAAUAGCCAUAUCAUGCGGCUGGCCAGGCGCCCAGUUAGUGUAAGUUACACCAGUGCCAUCCGUAAACCUGUUAAGCACCUACUCAUUGCGCUCUUCAAAACAUGCAACAUAUGCGAGCGUUCUUACCGAAAUGUAGAUGGCACUGGUGCACUGCGCUGCAGUCCGAUCCAGACACUCGCGCUCUUGUUACUUGAUGGCACAAGCAGCAGCCCAGCAGAAACAUCAACCGAAGUCGUCACGUUGCCAGCAUUCGUUGCCAUGUCUGUGAGCAGCACAGCCGCACGCUCCUCAUCAGAUGUACGGAGAGAUGCGAGUGAACCCUUCAUCACAAGUCCAGAGAAAUCACUACUGCUGCCCCCAGAACCUGAAGAGCUGCUAGAGCAUAUAGACUGUGCAACAACAGCUGAUGCUGCCUCUGGGUAGUAUGACAGUCGGAACCCAUCAAAAUCCAGGUACAUAGAAGGAAAUGUUCCACCUGUGCGUUAGCACCGUACAGCAAACGUUUGUUCGCAUUUGAUACAUAAGAAAUCCAUACCUUUGCAUAUAUAGAAAUAUGUACUCAAGCAACUAGUAAAGAUAGCUUUGCCAGUUGCAACGUCAAUCCCUAUGCAGCUUCCCACCGAAGCAUUUGAUGGUGACGGGAGCUGUAGAUAGCGCGCGAUCUCCGAGUCCAUAUCAAAGGGAGUGCCAUCGCGCCAAAUGUACUUUAGCACCGUGACAUUGGAGCUUGCAUCAACCACGAAGCGCUUCAGAGAUAAUCCAGACCAAAAGGCAGCGACGGUACUAAGCUGCGUGCUAUCAAUUGCCUGCAAGGCAUGCGCGGCGUGAGCAGCAGGACUCGCUAUCGGACGGCUGCAAGUAUGACCGUACCGUGACAUCAAACGCGGCCACAUCCUGAAUCAUGGAGACGCCCAACUCUUGCAAGUCGGUAACACUCUGAAAUGACACUGGGUGUCGAUCAAUAGCCCUGCAUGCCGCAUCCGCGUCCGACUCCGUUGCUGGACGCCAUGUAAAGUAAUAAUAGUAAUACGCAGCACGCAGCACUCGUCGUGCAUACUGCCAACGUGGAUCCGCAUCAGGAACUGAAAGAGCGGUGCAUUUGUGAGCUUGCUGCUACAAAGAAAUGUCGCCUAGCUAGGCCGUACCUCGGCAUAUGAAAGGGAGUGGUAUAGCGCAGCCAUGGGAAAUCCAACCUCGUGACGAGACAGCAAAGCACAAGGGCUGUGACGUGUUGGACGUGACCAACGUGUUGACUCUGAGUGCAUUUGAAUAGUCAUAAAAACUUCCAUCCAUCCAUCUUGGACUUAGGCUAUUAAACAGGGCGAGACCAAUCCAAAACCUGAAGAGUUUACAACAGUGUAAACCACCCGGCUCUUCAAGCCACGGUACGGAUUUUAUACCUUGGUUCCAUACCAACAUCACCAAUAUGACGCUGGACAGCGUCCAUAAUUUCGGCUUCUUCGCUGACUGAGUGUAUAGACGUCAACCUGCCACCGCGGGUACGGCAAACAGUAUCAGCAUCAGUAACUCCCAUUGAAGUCUUAAACACCUCGAAGCUGCUGCCCACAACGGCAGGAACUCUAAAUGCAAGGUCCGGAACAGGCGGGCUGGAGUCAGGAGUCUGGCACAUGAAACUCAAUGGUGUAUUGCAUGGCAACAUCACAAGUAAGUCGUCCAUUGUGUCGUCUGCCUUGCGGGCUUGCGAGGUGGCCAUCUCUUGCAGACUUAUUGCCAUACAGUGUUCCACGAAUGUUCCUGGAAGAAGCCCCUGUUCAACACCGUAACCCAUAGCUGACACUCGCUGCACGACAGCAGAAGCAACAUUUGACAGAUUGCCAUUUGUUGUGAUAGGCUCGCCGGGCCACCAUGACAAAGAGACAGAAGUGGCCAUUAAUCCCGCAGGCAGCAGUACUCUCAUAACCAGUCCCGUCCAAACUGCAUUAGUUGCAUUGGUGGCCAGCGUGGUAGGACUCUCAGCCGAGGGUUUCCACAUGCGUGUUGAUGUCAUUCGGACCCACACAACAUCAUCUGCCCUUGUGGGUCGGAUUAGCUGCAUGCCAUUUGCUCUGCAUACAGCAGCUGCGUCUGUUGCAGGCAUAUGAAGAGAAGGGUAGAAUGCUACGGUCUGUGUGCCUCUCAGCGUAGUCAGGGAUGGUGCUUGGGCGGACUCUGCAAUUAAUGCUAGCUUGAGAACUAUGCUGCAGAGCUUCAGAGUGAACAUGCAUGCCGCAUACCUCGGCAGAUGAAUGGAAGCUCCAUUAUGCAGGAUACAGCCCGCAUUCGCCAGCUCGGCGUCUUGCCCACUUGCCGCACUAGUGCGACACAGUACUGCGACGCACCUGCUUGCUGCUGCUUGGUAGUGACCAGAGAAGGCUCGCCGGCCAGCCAUCGCAGAUAAGCUACUUCAGAACCGUCUACAUUGUAGAAGCUUCCAGCAGACCAGUAUAAGCCCGACCAUAAGACCUCUACAAAAUUUCAACUAGUUUUUCAGGUAAAUGAUGCAAGCAGUAUUUAACACACUCGACGCUUCACUUGCCUGAUGCACCGCCAACGAGGCGCGCGAGAGCGUCUGCUUCGUCAUCAUUACGCAAAGUUAGCAAAGAGCCACCCAAAGCAUAGCAUGCACUAGCUGCUCGCUGGGCAUUUGCAUAAAUUAGAUAAAACUGGAAGUUUGAGACGCCAAGAAUCCGUGCCAUCGUAUAUCCAGUUUGAGUGCUCGUAACCUCCAGAGAUGAUUCCGGUUUGAGACGUCCUGCAAAGUGACGUUGCGUUAUUCAUUCCUCGGUGCACUUUAUGUAACAGCACCUGCCACUCACGUUGGCAAACAAACGGGAGCUCCGUUUGACAAUUCGCAGCGACUGGUACUCCGCCAGCGGCUAAAGCAACACAAUGUGCGUCUAACACCCCACCACGUGAGGCAGCCGUUGCGUUAAUCCAGGCCAUUGGGAGUCCUUGGCGUGUACUGGGAAACUCUGUUUGAAGGCGUUGCGAAACCAUGCCUAAGUCGCUUGACAAAGGUGAUGCCAAGGUGCCGGAGUCUUGCACACACACCCGGACUGCCUCUUCCUUGGAUAGUUUGGCCUGGGAAAAGAAGCGAAGCUGAUAUGCGCCUGAGAUUGCGAUGAAGACUGGUGCAAGCAGGACAGGGCGAGCGCACAUAACCUGGUGCGUAUUGAUGCACUGCGUGGCAAUCAAGUCCACUGUUGUAGCAAUAAUUGAGUUGCUAGGGUCUCCUGCACUCGGUAAAGACUGGAGCGACGCGGUUCUGUAGCACCAUCCAUCGCGGGGCAUAGUAACCGCGGGUAGGGGAACCUCCGACAGUAAUGAUGCUGAUCCAGAGGAAACGGUAAUUGCGGGCAGCGCAGCUGGAUAGUCAUAAGGAGUCUGAUCCGUCCAGCGCAUUGGCGGCGUAGCACUUGGAUGCGAAGCGUUGCUGAUUGUUGCAGAGCCAGUUAACAGUCCAGUGGGCAUGUAACUGAGACCGAUCCACCAUGAAUCAUAUGGCGCUGGAACACGCAAUGUGAGGGCUUGUCGCCUGAUAGGAUGAUGUUUUCAACGCCAAAUGAUCAUUUCUCAGGUGGACAUCCUGCCUCAGGUACACACCUGUACUCUGUGUAGGCACGGGCGGUCAUGUUUGCCAAAAUUUGCAUGUCACGUGCGGAGUGCAGCGACACCAGAUGUGCAUCAUGGGCACGGCACGCUGACUCUGCAUCAGUGCGACUUGCAGAAGCAUUAAGGAACAGGUACUCAUGAGCAGCAGUGCAUUGAUCGCUGUCUUCUUCUCGUGACCAGUCCAUAUAUUGGUAAAGGAUUGGCGGCCGGCGCUGACCUGCGAUUCAUUUGCAAUGCCCCGCUUGCACCAUUUGCAUUUAACCAAACACGGAUGACGUUGGACAGUACUUACGCAUGCACAGAGCUGGCAACAAAUCGCUGCAAUUGCGAUUCGUCCAUACAUUGAGGGAAUUUGCGCUUGCAGCAGUACAAUUUGCCGUUGACGCAGUUGGUGUUGCCAGUGGAAGGCCGAUCAGGGGGUCAAAGUAGUUGUAUGAGAGGCUUGUGUCUCGGCCAUCUGUCCACUGGUAACACCCAAUGGGACCUUGAUCCGGCUUACAGUCCUCGCAGCAGCUGUCAAUAGUGGUGAGUAUAUGUUGUGACCCUACCAUUUUCCAUUCGUGACUCACUUGUUGUCAUCUAAACCAAUCCAGAAGCUUGCGGCGGAUCCCAGCGAAUUCGCCACCAUGCGAGAACCCGUCGUACGGGGGGUGUCAGCUGUAAACGAAGCCAGGUGCGCACCCAGCAUUUGACAGGCUGUUUCAGCAGCUGCGUACGGUAAUCGAUGACCGAUGACCAGAAGCUCCUGUCCCCAUGGAGUCAGCAGAGACGCAGCUGGUUGAAGGCCACCUGAGGCAUUGCAGGACGCAUCACCUUUCUUGUCGUGUUAUUAAUUGAUUUUGUGCACUUACCAUAGCACAAGUAUGCCAAAUCUGUAUCACAUGGCAGCAGCAUAGCGCGUGUGCUGUUGAGGUCCACAGCUAGGCAAAGCCUCAUCAUAGGAUCGUUUAUUGGCCAUGCAGCUGAUGCAACAAUGCCUGCGGCGACGUCUCCAAUUUGUUGGGAUACAUCAACCAAAGUCAGAAGGGACCCAUCAGUAGAAUACCAUCGGCCAAACCGGUCUGCAUUUAAACCCAGCCAUACCCAGGCCGCUGCAGUUAGGUUCACGCCAACUACAGGGCUUGGCGGCCGCGGGGGCGGGCGAAGCGAUGAAAAAUUUGCAGGUGGUUGCCUUGGUGUCACACUUCCAAUAACAGAAUUUCCAAGAGAUGGGACAAAUGCACCAGACUCAUAUGCCACGCUGAGUGCCAACGAUGAUCGACUGUGCACACACGAGAGUCAUAUGUACAAGGCCAUACACUGCACUGUGACAACUUACUUGCGCAGGAAGUUGAUGUUCGCAGUAGGAAGCAGCGAUGCUGCACGUAUGCCAGUCUGGCAUGCGUUGUUGGCUGCUGCCCAGUCCAAUGGCACGUUGUGUGCUGAGACGUACGCGGUCAUGUUGUGUACUUGGCCGUCCGAAUCAGCACCUGCAUAUGACCCCGCAAUCGCACACCAUUACCAUGACCGCACAUGUCAUUGCCUAAGCAAAUGUUGUGUUCAGACUUACGUCGACAUACAAAUGGCCGAGGCAAUGAACAGUUGAUGCUAGCCCAUUUAAGGUCAACCUUGCUUGUCAGAAGUGGUCCCCCAGAAGCGGAUACAUCACCCGCGCCAUUGCCCACAUCAGCUGCAGUAUCAAUUGCAGCUCUGGCCUCGGCCAUUGAAAUGGCAUCAAAGUAAACGCGCGUUACCAAGCAGCAAUCCACUGAUCGGCACGUAGGCUCAUAGUCUAAAGAUUGGUCGUAAUUUGAGUAGGGUAUUGCCGACUGCAUGGGCAGCGGUAUUUAAUACAAUUCAAUGUGAAGCAAACAAUCAAAUGCAAUGCAGCAUCAUACCGCCGGUUGUGGAUCCUCCCAGUCAUAGGAGCCCCCGUCCCCAAGGAACGGGUUAAAUCGCAGACCAAUCCAGAAGCCUCGAAUAUUUAACCAUGCUGUGAGCUGCACAGAACAUUGUGAAUCAUUGUAGAAAUGUUAGCGAAACAAGCAAUGAUGUCACCUGGCGUGCCAUGAUCGCAGACAAGUAUACAUCCUCGUCGCGGCUCUUCACAGGCACCACAUGCCCACCAAAGUCUGAGCAAGCUCUUGCUGCAUCAGGAAAAGGCAGCGGUGUCCUAAAAAAUGCGUAGGUGGCUCGUCGGUCCGUUGGAACGCCAGUAGCUGGAGCAAAGACGGCUGCCGCAGCGGCAGCUGCACCGCUGGAUGAUGAUGUCGAUGGGGUUGACCCGGUGUUAAGAGCGGUUGAGCUACUGGGACCAGUGGCUGUAACGCGCGUCGUUACAAGGUCUGGUAGCAGUUUACCUGCAGGUGCAGUACGUCAUGUGUAAGAGUGAGAACACAGCGCAGAUUGUAGCCAGACCCACUUGAGCAAAUGUAUGGGAGCGCCACAUUGCAAGGAAGCAGACGCAAUUUUCCAGUAGUCAAGGAUAGUGCGACACAGGAACGGUCUAAGUUGGUGACCGACUUGAGAGUAGCUGCAUUUUCCCACAUAUCAGCUGUUGGCCCCAGCAUUGCAGGCCAGCCAUAUUGCGAGUUGCCCAAUCCCGCGCCUGUAUCCGAGCUGAGUACAGCAUCUUGACUCUCUAGCCAUUGAACAACACCACCAAGAGAGUUUCCCCAACCGUUAUCCCCGCCCAGCCAAAACAGUUGCAGUUGACCACUUGAGCUCCCAUUCGAGGCUGGUGUUUGGAUGCCCAAUGUCAUCGCAGUGUGUGCUGCGGCCACCAGGUCUGCAAGGUGGUCUAAUGAUGGGGCCGGCGCGAGUCUCAUUGCCACCCGCUGGCAAGCGAUAUCGGCAUCAUCGAAUGAAGAAAAGCCAUGAACGUAGGAUGGUUCUCCCGGACUGCUUGUUGUUGACUUCGCGCCAUGGACAUGCAAGACCCGGCCAUGGCGGUACUGGACGACGAUGGCGCCGGGUGCCGGCGGCACUGGCCGCUCACACAGGAAUGCCAGCCGCAAUGAACAAUCUGCGUUCAUCCAGCCAGCUGACUCCGUUGCCGAAGCUGCGGGCGCUGGCAUGCCCAACGCGCCGCAUUGCGUAGUAUACGUUUUCUGCUCACAAGAACGCCAGUCAGCUAACACAAAUUGCCCUGCGCAACCGCAAAGCACACCUGGGGGUAUGUAUUUGCCCACGGAGGCUGUGGGGCAUAGCUGAGCUUUCCACGCAUGCCACUUUGUCCCCACGCGUAUUCCUCCGUUCCACCUCCAGUAGCACUGAAGAGACCAAACCAGCAGCCACCACCCGUCGUGCUGACAGUUGAACGAACUGCAGUGAUACCCCAAUCAUGAAUUGGGUGCGCAAGAUGCGACAGGGUACUCGGUGAUCAAACAGCACUUACUUGCAGAGCGAACGCUCAAGCACAAUCUCAUGGCAAGAUCGUUGAUAUCACUAUUGCGAGCCUCCAGUAACCAUCCACCUGCCUGCUUGCAAACCUGCAAGCAAUCCACAGUAGGUCCUCCAGUUGACAUGUUUGAACAAGUUCUGCAUACCUCGUUAGCCUCCUCCCAGGUACGAAGAACACCAGGCGCCCAGUACAUUGUGUCAUCUAGAAAUGCCGCUGAUGAAUUUGAAGCACCACCAACGUAGUCCAAUACGCGCGGUCUUCGGCCUGCAGAACACUCAAGACUUUGUGUGAGCCGCUUACACGUGAAAGAGCACGUCACCGCUGCUUACCUGGAACUGGACUGAUGCCAAUUGCAGGUCUUCGACAAGCAAACGCCUGCAGUAGGAGGUACGUCAGGAACAAAAGGUAGUGCAGUACGGAUGCGUUGCACUAACUUGUAGCGUGUCACAUGACCGAUCAACCCACUGCCCAGCGACAGCCCCUUGGGAAAGCAUAGUGACACACUGCCCCUCCUUUCCAUCCUUGUUGUCCGGCUCCAAGCGGCCCCAGUUUGUCCAGCCAGCACCACUGGUUCCUGCCCGCAGCCCAUCUGCCACUGUGCGGUUAUUGAACCCAUCCUGCCAUGUCCAUGCAUAGCUUCUUGGGGCACUGCCUAUGCUUGACAGAUCGAUCGAGCUGGAUGCUGCUGCCGAGGUAGAAUUGCUACCAGCGCUUGUGUUUAACUGGCACUGCUCAAGUUGAUCCAUUACAGGUGAAAUGGCAGCAAGCUCCGGCAAAGCGCUGACAGCAUCCAUGCUGUUACCACCUGCUGGAGGAACAGCAGUGCGGGAAAGUCCAAGCCAGACAUCCUGAGUGUUAGCCAACUCAGCCAAGCGCUGGUUCUCCAGGGCCGUUAAAAGGGUGGCUAGGUAUCCACCACCAGGCCGUGAUGCACAAAUCGCUGCAGCAUCCGGUAAUGACACAAGAGGGCUGUUGAAGACCUCCAACACUGCAGCAGAGUCGGAUGGCGAUAUGUCAUAGACGGCCGGUGUUGCUGCAGGCAGAGACCGAGUCAGCGUAUGCUAACUAAGGCAAGCAUUGAAGUAAUGGCAACAUCCGUGUCUUACUCUGGUUACGCAAGGACUGGUACUUAAGCUGCCAGCGCCCCUGUGGGUUGACAAACAUGCCCAUGGAAGUCAAUGCAGACGAAGGAGGGCGGCCCAGCAAAGCGGAAUUCCCCGGCAAAGUGAAAUUCAGCUGAAGCUGGCGGCGUUCCAUGUCGGUGUUUAAUGGUGGUGGCGGUUCAGCCACCAACGAGUUAUUGAGGAAUUGAUGAUCAUGAUCAGCUGUGUGGUCCGCGUCCAAGCUACCACGUGAAUCCAGCUGUAACACCCACAACUCAUUACUGGGCAACAGUGGCCCUGCAAUAAGCUUAAAGGCUCCGCAUUCAAUGGGUUCAGGGCAUGAGUAUGUGUGCUUAACUCACCACCAUCUUGCGGUUGAACAACGCCGCCAAACAUCACCACAAUGUUAUCGCUGUUGUCGCCACCUGGCUCUGAUGAACCAUCCAAAGCCCAAGCAGACAUACUAGCCCCCUCACGAGGCUGCGGCCAAGGCGCGGUUACAUCCAUGCCCGGAACCAACGGCUGUGCAAUCCAACGACCGACAUAGUCCGAGUUAGCAGCAUGACCUGUGCGAGAAUGCAAGUGCGCAUCAUUAUGCGCGCCUAGCAAACGGUGUGUGACCGAGGCACGGCGUACCUGCAUCAAUGUUUGAACCUUGAACACCCGACUGCCAUACCAGAAUGAAAGCAUCUGACAACAAAUCGACAGGCGUGUGCAAUAAGGGGGUAAUAGAGCCAGCGGCGGGAGCAGAAUUGGCGUGUAUGCUCCCUUCAUCCUCAAACCACUCGCUGCCGCUAAGGGCUGAAACGAUGCCCUCCGUCUGCUCUUCCAGCGCCUGGGGCAUCGCUGGCAUCACAGUGGUAGCUCUGCCGCCGAACACCAUUACUGCAUACGUUGAUGAAGCAUAUUCUGGGCAACGGUCGUUGUCACUGUUAGAAGCAGGCUGUAGAGAGAUGGACAUUAGAGUUGCUGCUGGGUGCACACGAUUCCCGAGGACUUCCAGCAGCAAUACAGCGGCUUCCAAGCGGUCCUGGGAUACGCCCACUCUGCCCCCAAAUGAUGCAUUUACUGCAUGUGCUGCAACAACAAGACAUGCAUCCUGCUGCGGAGCAACGUGCGUCAGUUUCCGUGAGUCCUGAAGCUCAACGUGGGUCGGCCAUGACAGGCACGACACCAACGAACUGCCAGCAGCCGUGGCCGAGAGUGAUGUGUGCAGCAUGUGCACUGCCAAUGGGUUUGGGGGUUGCUCUGUCCAUUGGCAAGACUUAGAGUUUAGCAAUGCAAUAUAUGCAAGAAAACUCUCACCUGUGUCUAGUACAGAAGGUGCCAAAGCUAGGAACGCGACUGAAAAAGCUGCUGAGCAGCUAUCAAUACGUAUAGCGCCUAAAACAUGACGGUUAGAAGCAAAUUGCAGGAAUGCAGGGUCGUUAUCCAGACCAGUACCACCCGUUGCUGGCGGUGGGGUAUUGAGCUCUUGGGCAGUCCUCCAGCUGGUGGGCCAAUCACGUACAUCAGCACCUUGUUCUGGCACGAAUAACAUCACCGCCCGGUUUGGUGCAGUCAGUCCGCUGGCUGCUUGCAAUAAUAUAUCAUUCAUGCGGUCACUUGAAGAAACAUGGCACAAGACUCCCGGCUCAUUUGCAUGUGACUGAUUUGAUGUUAUGCUUGAAGCAGAUAGUGCGCCCAGCAAGAGAAGGUUGGCCGGAGGUGCCAGAACAUUCUCUGCUACCUCUGGCUUAACCGUUGCCCACCGAGCCAAUGGUUGUGGACCUGAACCCCCAAUGAACAUUGCCGAUCCGGAGUCGCUGAACAAAUUCAGUAGUGCCAUUGUUAUCGGUUGUGGUGGGACAGGGUACAUCCAUUGCAGAGUAAGUGCCGUUGUGCUGUACUGAUCAACAUCACUGCUGGAGGUUGCAAGCUCGAAGGCCCUUGAAAGGCUUGGCAGUUCCAAGCCAAUGAGGUACGGUUUCCCAACGCUGUGGAACAUGCCGCAGUCCACCACAGUACUACCGUCCUCAGCCACAGGACCGGGCCCCAGUCGCUCCAUGACAAGGCCAGGGGCGGAGGCCGGCCCCGAAAGUCGCAGGCUACUGAAUGGUGCUGAGUCCCAGGGCUGGACGGCUAGUGCGCUUGGGGUGCCGUGUUGCAACGACAGGUUGAUGAUCUCAAUGUAUGAGUCCAGAACGGCAAGUACUGCCCACGUAGCUGACGACAAAGUAGGCAUCGCAUCAUGUGGCGCCGGAUAUGUUGCUCCAAGUCUGGUAACUUGAUCCUUGGAUAGGCUGAAAGAUGACUGCGCGACGUCAGGGUUGCUAGGUGGUGGAACGUUUGGGGUGUUGACUGCCCUCGUCGGCAUCGUAUGCGAUGGCCAUGACCAAGGCGGUGUAGUAGCUUCGACACCAGCAGGUGUUGCCGGUGAUGGAUGCAAAGUGGGCUCCGCGUGUGGAGGUACCAGCGCCAUGGCUGCCAAGACCUCCUGCAGAUGGACAGCUGUUGGGCUAAGCGGCAAGUCCAUGUCGGUCAGACUGUCUGAGCCAGUAGACAUCACAUUGCCAACGAGCCCAUGUGCAACCAUGAACUCCAAACCAAAAAUGUUCACAGCCAGAAUAGAGCGGGCAUGCAGCCGAUGCACAAAGCCGUCUGGUGUCCUGCUGGCAUUGUUAUUGCGUACAGCUUGCAGUCCGUUGACCUGUAACCGCCGCCAAACCCCGCUGCUCCGAUAGCAGACCCACGUAUCCGUUAACCUGACACGCAGGGCGGCAGGGCAAAGGCAAGGAACGGCAUAAAUGAUGCAUGAAAGCAAGUCGACAAUGCAUAAUGGCACGCUUGCACAGCAAGUAAGCCCGGGUAAGCCCACCUUACAAGGAGUCCAGCAUGACGGUUUAGCUCGGAAUAAACCUCAUCAGGCGUGCCAGGUGCCUCAGUCACAUUGACCGACCCUUGUAAAACUGUUCCCCAUCCACCCGAAAGGUAAACUCGGUCUCCAGAAGGAGAUACCGUCAGAGCUGCACCUAUUCGCGCGCGUGGUCGUGCAACGCCUGCAUUUGGAAAUGACCACAGGUUAGACAGUUUUGCUUUCGCAAACGAAAGCAAGUUUGUAAGAUCGAGCCCGGUCAAGCAGAGAGCUAGCUAGGUAUUGCGGAGCCAGAUAGAAAGCGAUGCACGCAACCUACCACCGCUCGUCGCUUGGCCACCCAAAACGCCACAGAGGUGCUGGCUUCUCCCAGUAUCCAUGUCUAUGGCUAUCAGGUCUGAAAGCAGACGCCAGCCGACAACGGGUACUUGUGCCGAGGUGCUUUGAUGACCGCGACGCGUAGCACCUCCAAACACAAAGAGCAUGCGGCCCAAAGCUGAAGCGGCGUGGCCCCAUCGCCCAGGCAGUAUGUCUUGAUUGUCGUCUGCGGCUGUACACAUGUACUCAUCUUUACUGCUGGUGUCGUUUGAAGACGUAUUCAGGGUUUUCUGCAAGCAAGGAAAUAUAAAGGGCUGUUGUGGGCGCAAUGUCAUGCACAGUCGAUGUAUGGUCGGUUGUUAUGUCUUCCCCGCCAGAGUAUUCGAACGCUUGCUUGAUUCUUGCCGAAGACGGCAGGGUGGACUCGCCCCCACACAAGAGGAGCGAGCCCCUUCCGCUUCGUGCCCCAGAUGCCGAUGUCGCUUAGUACUGUAGUUGCACUCGCUGCCAGUCAGUUUCAUACAUAGUGCGCAAUUCGCCUCAGCAAAGUGCCACAAGACAUCAUCACACGUGCAAAAUGCACAGUGGCACAUAGUUACUUGGUUCGUGGAGUCCUGGGAAUGACGGGUUAACCUGAUCCUGGCCUACUUGCACACACGCAUGGCCACACGCCGCCUUGCAUACGGCCGUGCCCUUCCCACCAUGUCUCUUGAUGCAACUUUUACCGCACGCGCAUAACAAACACGACAUAGAGGGACUGAUGGAAAGCUGGGCCUUUUGUAAGUGUACGUAUCGCGAUGUCAAGUGAUUGCAUGCCGACAUGUCAAGUCCGUUGGGUGCAGAUCGCCCACACCGCACGCCCUGGAGCUCCUUGACAUGCUCAAACGCCCAUACCUUGCCACCCCGCCCAUGCGGCAUUGUUUUUUUGUUGUAACCACGGGUUGUAACCCUCCGCACUCAUGCCGUGAGGGACGACCUCCGGCCCAGAGAGAAGCAAGUCUCUGGUUGUGGGUGCGACAUUAGACGGGCCAGCAGUAUUGAUGAACAGAAACCACCACCAUCCCCACGCGCCUCUCACAAUCCACUUAUGUGUUGCUAUGCAUUGAAUCUUGGCUGGGCCGCCUGUCCCAGGUUCUACAAGGAACCCCGUAGACUAGUCGAGAGGCGCGUGCGUAUCAUCACUGCUGCACCACCCUUGUUUGAGGGACAUGGGUGUAGCUCGCUCAGUUGAUAAGGGACAUGGAUGGGCGUAACAAAAUGGGCGUAACAACGUGCCCUAGCUAGGCAUCCAACUAUGGUCAUCAUGUGCAAGGAGCCACAGACACGCACAUACAUGCAUCCUCGGCAAGAUGGCCCCCCACCUGCUGGCUCCUUUGACCGGCGGGAACCCAUGCAUGUUGUAUGUCGUCCAUCCAUCCAGAAAUACCAAGUAAACUGCAAUAGGCAUACCACUCGACCACGCCAUCACCGCCGAGCAAUCCCGCUGAGAGACACAGUGGCACCGCUCACCCCUGGAGGUGCACUUCGCAUGCGCACUUUUGAUGGGAACAAGAAAGAAUGUUGUCGUGCAGCGGAUUGCUGAAAUUGCGCGACCACAAUUCUUAUUAUGUAUGCAUCGCAAUGCGUGCUGCUGUGGGGCCUGUUGCACCCGUUUGUAAACAUCCAUACUAGUGUACGGUGCGUGCGGGACGUGCCCGAAACGCCUGGUCCGCGCCAUUCUUGCAUGAACGCCCAUCGACCCCUCCCAGAAACAAUGUUAGCGCCACCGCCCAAACACCUCCAGGGACAGCAUUAGUGCAGCUUGUUUUGCCAAGAUUGAUAGAAUCAGCGGUGACCCCUAUUUGGGUACAAAACAUGCACGCCCAAACCCAAAUCAUAGGGAAGGUGCGCCAUGCACGGGCACGGUGGAAUAAAAAAAUAAAUAACCCCGUACGCCAACACGGGGCGUGUUCCGAGGGGUUAGGUGUGUGAGGGCCACGGGGAUCCCGGUAGGGAUCCCGGUAGGGAUCCCGGUAGGAAUCCCGGUAGGGUUCCCCGCCCUAGUCCCGUGUCCCGCGUGAGGUGGUGACGCGGCGUCCCCUCUGCUUGGCAGGGGGAGCUGGUGCGUGCCGCCCACCUCCGCGGGCGGGGCUGCUGGCGGUGGGCGGUUACGGCGGUGGGCGGCCUGGCCAGGGCUGACGGGCAGGGUGGCAGGUCCGAAGGUACUGGCAAUGACGCAUUCGAAACUUCGCCAUAACGUGUCUGCGUCAGGCGGCAGCACUUGCCCCACUACUUCCUUGUCCUGCUGGCUCCCAGCACCUUGCACGGGCUACUUUUUGCAACCCGUUGGCUGAGUCACCGCUUCAUUCGCCCCAUCCAGCGCACCUUCAGGGGGAGGUCUGUCGUUAAGGCCAUCCAGCGCCCUUCCAUGGAACCGGGAUUGUACAACCAGGCUCGAUCACCAGGGGCAAGUUGAAUGCCGUCGUCGCCUUGCCGCCGGCCACCGUACGCCACCAUCUCGCCGGCGAUCGCCGUCAGACUGUGGCCAUACAGACUUUCAGGCAGUGCCCCACACCAUCCUAGUGUGUGUAGGUCACAUUCUGCAGCGAUAGCCUGCAGGUGUGACAGGCGUGUGGCGAGUUGGGGGCACGUGUGUGGCGGGUCCACGGCCCAAGGCAACAUUGCCAGAUAUGUUGUUUGCUUGAGAGGCCACAUGUUUCUACACUGGACUUGCCUUGCCACUUGAAUGCAGGACUAGUAUCACCGCCAGCCCCAAGAGCAGCCUAUUGGUAGCGAUUCCUCGCUGACGCUGAAUAAAGCCAGGCCAGCUCAUAGUACUUGGCAUACUAAGAACCGGCAUACGAUAUUUUGGUGUUGACUAGUGAGCGCGACAAGCGGGGGUCAUCUUGACGAACCCGGCGCCGGGAAAGAAGGAACGUAUUAAACGGUGCUCUAGAUUUACAGGUAGCAACUUAAAAGAACUUUUUACUCAGUUGUUGAAAGCAUGCGAACGCGUAAGGCCUUCCUAGACAGCUUGCUUGUGCGAACCGCCGCAAUAUGGAGCUCACAAAACCAAUGCAGCUCGAAUACAGACUGCAAUGCCAUGACGCGCCACAGGAGGUCGUCGAGUUUUGACGCCAAUUCAGCUCAUUCAGCGACAUGGCGGAAUUCCUCCUCACAUGGGUACACCGGCACCAUAGUGACUGGCCAUUUUUAUUUGUUCCUAUACAUAUCUAACAAGGACGCUCAAGUUGUGCAGGCAGUGGCAGCCGACGGCAGUAUACCUUAGCUUCCCACGCGUGGUCUCCGGCCUUCAGACACUUUGUAUUGUUACGCACUCUAGAUGAACUUGAAGCACCAACUAUUCUGACCCGCUAUAUCUGAAAGCCUGCUACGGUAAGCUCGCUUCCAAUCUUCAUCCUGUCUGCACGCUGCGGUCUUGCUCGGCUUCGCCAAGCCGGCAUGUCUAAGUAUAGUGUCUAUAGCUGGCACUAGAUGCCGCUACGCGCGGUGAAGCAAGAGGCACAAUCUCCAAGGUCGUGUCUAACCUAUAGCUUCGCUCAUAACACAUAGCACGAUUUACAAAGGACACGUAAUAUAUCCCGCCCAAAAGUCGGCGUUCACGCGAAAUGAAACGAAUACGCAUCCACGGUGCCACAGAUAAGCACUACGCCCUCUUCCCCACGCUACAGGAGGCGUGCUGGCACACAACUUGUGACUUUCUUCACCUGAGGGCAUGCCAGGAGUCAGCUGUUACGCCAGUAAGCAUGUUUGGCUCAAACGGGGAACUCCUCAGCGGUUCGCAGUUAGAGAUGUUGCGUGUACUACGGCAGCAGCAGGAGCAACAGCACCACCACCAACAACAGCAACAACAACAGCCGCAACGACAACACCAGCAGCCUCUGACAAUGCUGCACCAGCAGCAGGGCACAGGGGACAUUGGCGGCCCAGGGGUUGCCGCCGUAGCGGGCUUCAACCACAUGGGCGCUGUAGGCCAGCUGAGCCGUGGUUCCCAUAGCCAUGCCAUGAGCCGAGCUGCGGCGGGGCUUCAUUCCGAGGGAUUGGCCCACAGUGGCCUUGGACGCAGCAUGGAGGACCAGGCCAGCGGGCUGCAGGCUCUGGCAGAGGACGAAGGCAUGGCUACAGCUCACGCUGUACGACGAGGUGCAGCUUCCGUGGCUGCCGCAUCGGCAGCUGCCAGCGCUGCACACCACUCCAUGGCUACGGGCGCCGGCACGAGCCCAGCCCACGUCAGCGGCCUCUUUGCACAAGAUGGCGUAGCCUCGCAGCUUUUGUUGCGAAUGGCAAGGAUGCCGGGCGGCCCAGGAGUUAGGGGUGCGGCCUUAGGGCACCUGCUGCGUCACCUGCAGCCGGCUAAUGGCCACAGCGCUGACGGUCAGGAUACCGCCGGUGACAUCGACGCUGGGCCCGCGGAUGGACACCAUCUGCGGCGGCAGCAGCAGCAGCAGCAGCAGCAGCAACUUGAGCAGCAGCAACCGCGGGCUUGGCCACCUGCCGUUGCAACGCGGCUUGGUGAAGGUGCGCUGCUGUCUGCAGCGGAUGCUCACGACACUCUGGCCGCGCUGCGUAGCCGCCGGAGGUCGGACGCAGACGCAGACAUGGAGCCGGACAAGGGCGGGCCACAUUUAAUGAGCCACGCGUGGGAGCAGCACCAGCGGCAGCUUCGAUCUAUGGAAGUGGACCACCGGCGUGGCCUUGCCGUCGGCACCAGUUUCCAUAGUCGCACGGAGGACCUGGCAAUUGGUGUUCGUGCUCACCGGCAUACAGGAGGUUUGCUGGGUCGAGUCUCUGUGACUGCUGGGAGGGACGCAGCCCUUGCAUCGGGGCAGGACGAGGUGCACGUGCAAGGAGCAGCGCAGGCACGCCCUUCGUCAGUGCCAGCAGUUCAGCCAUGGCCGCGGAAGCGAGCAAGCGGCAGCGGGCUGGAGAUGGGGCAACACGGCGAGGGGGUCAUAGCUGUCGGAGGUGCGCAAGCCGGAGCUUCAGCGCCACGUGAGCAGCAACGUGCACACUCUUCAGCGGCCGCCGACCAUGACUCUGAUGUAGAGGAGGUGCCCCCGCCACAGCACACGGCUGUUGGGCACGAAAACGCCCCGCGUCGGCUGCACGAGCCUGGCGUGGGCACUGGCGCAGCCUCCGAGUGGCGGCCGCCAGUGUGGUCCGGGGAGCCAUCAGUGCUGACUGAGCAGCUGCGUAAAGCUGUUCCCUUCCUGCUUGCAGCGGGCAAGCGGUUCGAGCCGAUGGCGGCAAAGGUGCUGCAGCAGAUUCGGGACCGCCGGCUUCAGCCAGAACAGUCAGGGCAAAAGCCAAUGCCUUCAACACACGAAUUGCAGCAGCAGCAGCAGCAGCAGAAGCAGCAGCACAUAUUACAGCAUCACGCAGAUGCGGAAAGUGACCAGGCGGGUCCUGACCGUCGCCGGGGCAGUUUGGACAGGACACCACCGCGCAAACUGCAAGCCACGCAGCGCUCGGUGCCGACAACGGCUCAACCAGACAGUGCUCCUCAGCAGCGCACACAAAUGCCUGCACCAAUUAGGUGGCAUGGCCAAGGAGCGAAGCAGCCAGUCAUAACGCAAGGGCGUGGGGUUGUCGUGACAGCUCGGUCGGAUCAGCCGCGACUUGUUACCAAUAAGUUGCCGCCCCAGACCCGGGUGCUGCCGGGCUCCGGCCGGACACCUCCGCCUGUGAUUCGUCCAGGGCCCGGCCUGCCUGUUCCAGCUUGCGGCCCGUUGCGUGGCAGCGUGCUGGCUCCUUCGGCGGCUACAGUAGCUCCUACCCAACUGCACCAGCCAGCUGCUGCUGUCGCUGUACGCCUCUCUGCAAGCGUGCUUCCGGCGGACGCCGUAGUGCUAAGUGACGUGGACGUGUUACUGACAACCAUUGGCGGACUCCUGACUCGCGCGCCGGUGCGUGGGCAUGGGUGUAUGGGACAACGGGCGUACAGUGUGGGCGGCUGGAAGGGGUUGACGCCUAAGCAAUUCGUCAGUAUUUGGUGCCGGUACAGUCCUGCCCUGUACCAUUGUUUAUUUGCCCGCAGGCAUAUGGCAUUGUCAGCAUCACAGCGCUGCUGGGGCUGCAUGCCAAACUGUGCGUACGCCGCGGAGUUGCGCUGAGCCCAUGGGUGCUGGGCCAGUCACGGACGCUGGCUGCGAUGCAGGCGUCCGCGCGCAGCCGUAGCGCAGACGCCUCUGCGCUGGCUGCCUGCGACACUAAACUGCUGCUGCUGCUGGAUAUGGGCGCUGGCGGCCUGGGCCUCGAUGCCAGCCGCCCGCCGCGCGUGCAGCAGACCUGUCGGAGGGGCGCCGGCGGCCGCAGCGCUGGCGUGUUGGACACGUCGCAGCUGGGCAGCUGGUUUGUGGUCCACUGGUGGCCGGACAAGGAGGCCGACGAGGUACUGCAGGGCGUGGGGGGCACUGGUGGCAGCGGAUCAUGUGGACGGCCACAGCUGGAGUCUCUUCAUGCGUUUGCUGCCCGCUUCCUCCCGCAAGGCGUCUCGGGCCGUGCAGCGGCUGAGGACACGGCUGAGGCAGAGCAGGCGGUGUUGGAGCUCAUCAGCGUGCUGGUAAGAGUCAUGCAGGGCUGGACAGUGCAUUGCAUAUGGCUUUGGGUUUGAGCGAUGCAUAGGACAGGAAGGUUGUUGCAUCCUGACUGCUGGGAGCUGGUCCCUUGAAAUGUUGCAUGCAUGCUGACGAGGACGGCGGCCGUCAAGGUUUGUGAGCUUGCGUCCAUACAUUUCUUCCCGAUUGGCCUGCUUGUGUGCCGCCCGUGCCCUGCCUCUUGCAGCCUUACCCCGAGUCGUCGGGCGUCAAGGGCCUGGAAGCACUAAGGGCUGCGCUCACCAGUGGCAGCGUUCAAGAGCACGAGCUGCUGCCGCUGGCACAGUGGUGGCAGGGCGGGCCGGGGCCAUGCUCGGCUCUUGGUGCUGCUCACGGCGCGGCAGCAGAGCACCAGCGCCUCUACAACGAGCAGCACGUGCAGGCUCUCGGUGACAUCGACGCCCAGCAGGACCCGGGGGGAAGUAGCGGCGUGUUCGCUGCGCUGCUGCUGCUAGCCGAGGCCGCGGUAGAGCCCCAGCCGGCCAAGGAGACAGCGCAGGAGCAGUCGGUGUCGGCUCCAGACACGUCCGUGCGACAGGAGGGACGCAACCAGAACCAACCGCUGUCGGCGCAUGGAGCAGCCCAAGACGCAGUGGAUGGCGGACAUGAGGGCAGCGCAGACGAUGUAGCAACAGAACAGCCACAGGUGGAGCCACCUAGCGAAUCAGCUUCGCCCAAGCUUGAUUAGGUUGUGGGGAGCGCCGGCGGCAAUUUUGAUAGUAGUUUGAAGUACUAGCGUUUUGUGAAGCAGGUGCAGCAGCACGUUUCCUUGGUGUGACCAAGGCAAACUUAAGUUGGCUGGAGUUUGGGGGCCGAGCGGAGGCAGGCUGAGGUUACCAGGCGUGGCUAGUAGAUGCAGGUUGGGCACAUGCGAUCUGAGGCAGGUUUGUAGCUGCACGUCCACAGCGUGCACGUGCGCAAGGAACAGGCUACUCGAGUUGGGUGAUGCAUUGCCUGCACUGCAUUGCCAGUAAUCUCACACCGGGCGCAACAGCCGUGUACUUCAGUCAGGCCUGCGAGAAAGGAAUUGAGAAAGGUCGGUAGCGAGCUUAAGGAAGAUGCUUAGGUACUGGGAAGCAUGACAUUUGGACUCCGGUCCGGGAUGCUCGCUACAUUAGGUAGACUGGGUUUAUUGGUUGCACAUGUAUGGCUAAAAGACGCUGGCGUAUCGUCACCUUGCCCUUCAGAACGUUAGGUGGCAGCCCGUGCUUGGAUUGAAGCCGUUGCAUGUUGGUACACGAAGAUGCUUCACGAAACGAAUGCGCACGGUGUUGGUUGGUACACGUGGAUUGACGUGCUUGAAAAAAUGCAACACGCACAAGCGAACAUGACGUUGUAGAGCCGAGGCCGUGGUACACGUGUGAAGGUUUGGGUAAGCGACGGUGAAGGCAGCGGGUGACCAGCGUACCGAAUGCGGCCAGGCGAACACGGAAUCCCAUACACACCCGGAACACACGCACGAAAUAGUAAGACAGCGCGUGUCUCUGUAUUAUUCGAGCGAGGCUAGCGUGACGUACAGCAAGGCUUUCAGGGAUGGUUGCCGCGCACGAUUCCGCGAGGAGGCAGGGAGCAGGACAUGUGCAACGAUAGGUUGCCAAGCCAAGUUGGUAUCGCGCACCUUUAGUGCAAGAACGCAUUGACCUUGAUGGUAAAGGAAGAAAGAAGCUGGGGGCUGGUGAAGAGCACAGGGUUCAGAUGCAUGGGGCAUGUCCGGUUCACGGGGACCGUUAUGUCCUUGUGUAGGGGAGGGCAUUCAGCAUGGUGGCAGCAUGGGGUCCUGCAAGGCAGGGUGGCUUUGUAGUGUGUACACGGCUACAAACCGUACUGCGUGCCCUCCCCCUGACAUGUGCACCAGGGGCAACGAGGCAGGCAAGGCAUAAUGAAGCCACACAAAUUGAAACAGGCAGGAAGGCUCUGGGAAGGGACAAGUGUUCCCCGGUCACGGGAAAAGGGGCUGAGCCCCUCCACAGUCUGAGGCCGAACAACCUCAUCGCCCGGACAUAGCCGGGGUCAAUUUCACAGGCACAUAGCCAAACCAGGUGCCUAGCAAUCGCGAUGCCACAGCAGAGCUAACCGCAGCCAGACGUAACACAGUUGUCAACAGCCGCACUACUUGUCAUGCCGCUACGCAUGCCCUGCCAGCCCCACCGCGGACCGCUACCUAGACACCAGCCAGCUCCUCAGCCUGCGCGCUUGCACCGCUUCUUGGGCGGCGCUGCGCUCUCCUCCUCCACAUGGCCUUUCCCGCCCGCUCCGCUACCAAGAUGCGCGCACGCGCCCCCGCUGCUGCCGCCGCUGCCGCUGCCGCCGCCGCCGCCGCCGCCGCCAGUCUGCAGCGAUGCAGGUCGCUUGUGCCCCAGCAGCAUCUCCACCAGCGCGUGCCGGAUGUUGGUUGCGGAGUUGACGUCACGUCCCUGCACCUACCGUCGGGAGGGUACAGUGAGUGACUCCCGCUGAGCCCACGACUGAGCCGUCACCCAGCCGUCACCCAGCCAUCACCCACUGAGCCCCACUGAGUUCUCACCCACUGAGCCGUGUCAUCCACGUGUCAUCCCCACUGAGCCCCACUGAGCCCACGAGGCCACGACUGAGCCCCACUGAGCCCCACUGAGCCGUCACCCAGCCAGCCAUCAACCAGCCAGCCGCCCGCACGCAAAGUGGACUCACCCACACCGUCCCGCAGUGGUUGCACACUUGGACUUGGUGAGCACGUGAGCCCCCCCAUGGUACGACCGCCUGCAGGCAGCGCUGCGCAGCGGCAUCUUCCUAGUACUAAUUCUAUGUGUCAUGUUUAUUAAGGGUGUGGGACUCAGCCCCACACCCCUGACGCAGGCAGGCAGGCAGGCAGGCACGGACAAGCGCAACGAUUGAGGGGCCGUAGCUCAGGACGGCGGACGUGGGGGCGGGCGAGAGGCGCGCGCGGGGUGGGUGGGGAUGGGGGUUGGCGGGCAGGGGGGGGUGUUGUGGGUGGGUGGGCGGCGCACGGUGAUGGCAUGGCACGGCGUGCCUGUGCGUAGAGGGGACGGGCGCGCUGUCACUGCUACUAAGCAUAAGACGCAGCACCGGCGGGUUGUGUGCGCGUGUGUGCAAGGGGCGCUAGGUGUUGCACGUGGGAGUGACUGGUCGUGAUGAGAAGGUGCGGUGCGGGUGUGCGUACAUCAGGAAGGGAAGGGAAAACGGAAAUCCCCAAGACGGCAAGACAACCACAGGUCACCGCCUGCGUCUGCACACAAGGUGUCACGCAGUUGCUACCCAACCCACGCUCGGGCCUGCUCAUUAAGCCGCGGCGCUCACGGCAAGGCCACACAUGCCAGCCCUUGCAUCUGACCACAACACACACACACAUCCCCCAUUGCCACGCUGUCAUCACUAUGCCAUGAUAAGUGUAGGCGCGAGUGCGUCUGGGGCAACCAUGGAGGCAGUUAGGUCGUGCCGGUUUGCCUCGGAGCAGAGGAGUGCACCGAUGGCUGCACUCAUUUCCGUGCCAGCUGUUUUGAGAACAGUGCGGCGUGUUGCUGAGCUCCCAAUAUCAAUUGAGUAGGAGGCAUCGGGGGUUAGUGCUGAGGCGCCUGAAGCGUGCGAAGCAUUACAUUGGCGUUACGGUAACACCACUCCGCAUUUUGUUUUCAGGGUGAUGUCUAGCUCAGCAGGUGGCCGCCGUCUUCUGUCCGGGCACUUGCAUGGCGGUUCUGGGACUUUCCCAAAAAUGGCCCGGACCCAGGCCAACAAAAUCUAGCCCUAGAAAUAAGCCCCCGGGAGGAAUGUCUAGCGCACGGCCAGAAUGGCCGACGAAUGUCUGGAGACUUUUAUCUGAGUGAGUGCUACCUGACCACAUCUGCCACCGAAACCCAAGGGCAUCCCUCCGGGGCAAAGAUGGCAGACCGGGAUCCGACAAGUGUUCUCCGGUCACGGGAAAAGGGGCUGAGCCCCUCCACAGUCUGAGGCCGAACAACCUCAUCGCCCGGACAUAGCCGGGGUCGGUUUCCACAGGCACAUAGCCAAACCAGGUGCCUAGCAAUCGCGAUGCCACAGCAGAGCCAACCGCAGCCAGACGCAGCACAGUUGUCAACAGCCGCACUACUUGUCAUGCCGCUACGCAUGCCCUGCCAGCCCCACCGCGGACCGCUACCUAGACACCAGCCAGCUCCUCAGCCUGCGCGCUUGCACCGCUUCUUGGGCGGCGCUGCGCUCUCCUCCACAUGGCCUUUCCCGCCCGCUCCGCUACCAAGAUGACCGGGACCCCGAAGACAGGCGAGGCAACCACCGAACUGACAGAAUAGAGCAAGAAACAGACGCAGGGGACAGAGCUGGACAAGAAAAGGUGGCUCUCCCUCGCAAGGGAAAAGUGGGCUGAGCCCACGCCACGUCCUCCGUCUGAGGCCGAAGGUUCCGAUACUAGCCUCAUCUCCCGGUUUGAAGUUGGCAACUCUUCCUUUGUGGAAUCCGCGUGACAGGGCUGCUUUCCUUGCGACCUCGCGACCUCGCGAAAGUCAAGAUGUCCAUGCAUGGACUCGCGAGGUCGCUUCUCGCUCCAGCCGUUUCACAGGGGACAGAGCUGGAAAAAGAAUAGAAACGAGAAACACGGAAACCCAGCACCCAAGCCCGAACCAUCGCGAGCACGGGAACCACCGCAGGCGCACACACAACAGAGCGCCGGCACACUCGCACCAACACACUGCAAACCGGACCCCGAGCCCCAUGCAGGCCAGAGAACACAGGCAGCUGCUACCCGACCGUCACGCACGCCCGCCGAUCCAAGCGGCCGCGCGCAGCAACAAAGCAGACCAGCGACCACACGGGAACCACCGCAGGCGCACAACCAAGCGCAGGCACACACGCACCGACCCGCAGCAAAACGAGUCACGCGCCCCACGCAAGCCGGGGCACACAGGCAGCAGCCAAUCAACCGACUGCCACACCUGCACACCGGACCAGGCGGCCGUACACACGGGCUCCACAACUAAGUGUCAAAGCAGACCAGCUACCGCACGGGUUGCACCGCCGGCGCACAGCCAAACGCAGGCACACACGCACCAACACGCCGCCAAACCGGGUCAGCACACUAGUAGGGCCGCUCCCAGAGUACCCGCAACAACUCCGCGUCCGCGCGCGCCGCGACCUCUAGCAGCUGCGGCACCAGGCCCCGUGGGCACACGGGAGGGCCACCGUCCGCCACCCGGUCCCGCUCCCAGGCGCAGACGGCACCAUGGAGACAUUGAGAUAGGAGCCCUAGCGUAACCGUACAAGGGCCACCGGGCCCCGCCUCUGGUUUUCACAACGAAGGCAUGCGGGCGGGCAUAACGUGGCACGUUGUGGGUAGGAUUCAUUGCUGUUCGGUUUGUUGUCGGUUGUGCUUGUGCUUGACAGCAAAACGCAGCUGGCCGAAACGGGCGGUGCCUGUACAAACCGACCCCGGCUACGUCCGGGAGAUGCGGUAGUUUUGAACCUUGGACAUUGCAUCAACGUGGCGUGGGCUCAGCCCAUUUUUCCCUUGCGCAAUACACACCGGAUGCCCUCAAGGCCAUGCGCGUUGUAGCCGUGGACUCGGGCUGCGUCAAUUACCUGGUGGCCUGCGUCGGCUACCUGGCCGACUUCAGCCCGCACAGCCACCAGCACCCUGCGCACGCCGUACGCCUGUGGGCCGGCCCGAGAGCCAUCCCAGAGGCCGAGCGUCAGCAAUUGGCGCAAGGCCCUACCCGGCCUCUGCGAGAGCGGCGCAGGGAGCGGGCAAAGCGCCGGCGGCGGCAGCGGCGGCUUCGUGGGGUCGGGCGCGCUAAUGUGUGGCGGAAGCGCCAGCGGGGGCAGUCGAGGGGGCGCGGGAGGCGAGGGUGUGCCCGUGGGCGGUGGCGGCGAAAGCCGCGCGGUUGGCGCGGCCGCCGUUCGCGGAAGCAGAGGCAUGCAGCAACCAAGCGGCGCAGGGAGCAGCGCAAGUGCUACGCGCGUGUGUCUGGUGCUGGUUACCGCAAGCGCACUGGCCAAUCAGAGCGCCAGCGUUGGCAGGAGGCGCGUCUGCAGGAGCAGCCAGCGCUCCAGCGGUGGCAGGCCGGGAUCCCAAGUGCGCGGGUGGCGUAUGCAGCUGACCACACACGCCGCAUUCAGUACCUAUACAGCGGCAGCGGUGGGAUAGGGCUAUGGCAGCUCCUGCGCCAUUACCGGCAGUGGGGCCAGCGGCGGUGGCGCUUGAUUGUUUACAUUCG